rnacentral:rRNA from 1 species
UACGUAGGCAGCAAGCGUUGUUCGGAGUUACUGGGCGUAAAGGGUGUGUAGGCGGUUCUUUAAGUUUGGUGUGAAAUCUCCCGGCUCAACUGGGAGGGUGCGCCGAAUACUGAGGGACUAGAGUACGGGAGAGGAAAGUGGAAUUCCUGGUGUAGCGGUGAAAUGCGUAGAUAUCAGGAGGAACACCGGUGGUGUAGACGGCUUUCUGGGCCACAACUGACACUGAGGCGCGACAGCGUGGGGAGCAAACAGG